rnacentral:rRNA from 1 species
AAUAGAUACCCAGGUAGUCCUAGCCGUAAACGAUGAGCACUUAUCUGGGGAUCCUCCCAUAGGUUCCCGGAUGUAGCGAAAGUGUUAAGUGCUCCGCCUGGGGAGUAUGGUCGCAAGGCUAGAAACUACGGAAAGGAAGUUGACGGGGCUCACACAAGCGGUGGAGGAUGUGGCUUAAUUCGAGGCUACGCGAAGAACCUUAUCCAGGCCUUGACAUGUACGGAUGCUGCCCGUGAAAGCGGGUUAGUUGCCUUCGGGUGAAACGUGCACAGGUGCUGCAUGGCUGUCGUCAGCUCGUGUCGUGAGAUGUCGGGUUAAGUCCCUUAACGAGCGAAACCCCUGUUGCUAGUUGCCAGCGAGUCAUGUCGGGGACUCUAGCAAGACCGCCGGCGUUAAGCCGGAGGAAGGCGGGGAUGACGUCAAGUCCUCAUGGCCUUUAUGGCCUGGGCUGCACACGUCCUACAAUGGCGCGUACAAAGGGAAGCAAACUCGUGAGAGCAAGCAAAUCCCAAAAAGCGCGCCUCAGUUCGG